UGGGGAAUAUUGCACAAUGGGCGCAAGCCUGAUGCAGCCAUGCCGCGUGUAUGAAGAAGGCCUUCGGGUUGUAAAGUACUUUCAGCGGGGAGGAAGGGAGUAAAGUUAAUACCUUUGCUCAUUGACGUUACCCGCAGAAGAAGCACCGGCUAACUCCGUGCCAGCAGCCGCGGUAAUACGGAGGGUGCAAGCGUUAAUCGGCAUUACUGGGCGUAAAGCGCACGCAGGCGGUUUGUUAAGUCAGAUGUGAAAUCCCCGGGCUCAACAUGGGAAGUGCAUCUGAUACUGGCAAGCUUGAGUCUCGUAGAGGAGGGUAGAAUUCCAGGUGUAGCGGUGAAAUGCGUAGAGAUCUGGGGGAAUACCGGUGGCGAAGGCGGCCCCCUGGACGAAGACUGACGCUCAGGUGCGAAGGCGUGGGGGGCAAACAAG
rnacentral:rRNA from 1 species